GCAGGAAGGAAAGAUGAGUUACUGGGGAGGUUGGCAGGGGGAGGAGGGGAGGCUUGAAUAUGGAUCUUAAGAAUUGUAAUACUUCAGCUCUUCAACUCUACGGAAUACUUGAAGGGAUUUUUCAUGAAGGAUAACAGGCCACGCAGGACAGCUUUCACAGGAGGAUCUCAGGAAUUACUUUCAGAGGAAGGAGGCCGAGGAUUUUCUCACACAGGAAGUUGGAGGCAUGGCGAGAGGAGGCCUCUCCCCUCCCGUUGUCUUCUCAGUCUCGAGUGCUCUGUACUUGGCAGUACCAAGUAGCUCCAAAAGCAAAGGCUCCUUUGGCUUAGUGUAACCAUGGUGGGGAAGGAAGCUGAGGGAUAAAUCUGAUUAAAUGCCUUCAAGAACUAUACUGGGCUUCAGUCUAUGAAUAUGGUUUAAGCAUAUGCAAGACCUUAGAUGAAGAUAGAAACAGAAGAAGAGCUGCAGUGGAUCUCACAACAGGCAAGGAAAUCUGCUGCCAGAGACAUCUGAUUUGCAAGACUCCCACAGUUGGGAAAGCCCUAAACUAAGAUUUAGGCUUGCUUGACACCACUGGAAACUCCUUCCCUUGGCAGGCAGAUCAUUCUUAUUUGUAAACAAUAUUUAACAAGCUAGGAGCAAGCUGGGUCUGGGACUAUAGCUCUAGAGGGUUAUUAUCACUUAAGGGCUUCUUUCCUAACUGUUCACAGGAAAUGGAGUUUGAACAGUGAAUGAAAAUGAAGACAUGAACGCUCCUAGGUAUGGCUGAGGAGAAGGUUUUUAUUGUAGAUAUGAAGGAGAGCACAGGCACAGGUGUCUGGAGGAGUCCAGACUGAUCAUGGCCAGCAGCAUAGACUGAGCCACAGGACGGGGGUAGAGAGGAGAGCAGCAGAGGAAGAGAAGGGAGGGCAAACAAAGACAGGUCCAGGAGUGGAGCCAAGAACAGAGCCGACAGAACCAGGAGAGCACACAGCCACAAUGCUUGGAGUUACAUAGGAAAGAGAAACUGGGGGUAGGGAAGUAAAGCUCAGAGGACAGACAGGUUUUGGGUAGGCGCCAGGUGCUUGAGAUGCUGAGAGAGACUGGGGGCCAGAACCCACUUUGCUAUGUUUCCUUCUCUCUUUGAAAACCAUUUAUUCUUUGACAGCCUUAUAAAUGUAUACAGUGUGUCUUGAUCAUAUCCAUUCAUUUCUUUAUUUUUUAGAAAGCUUGUUACUGAUUCUUUGUGGAUUUCACGUCAUGCAUCCUGAUCCCAUUCGUCUCCCUGUCCCUUUGU